rnacentral:rRNA from 1 species
CCUACGGGCGGCAGCAGUGGGGAAUAUUGGACAAUGGGGGGAACCCUGAUCCAGCCAUGCCGCGUGUGUGAAGAAGGCCCUCGGGUUGUAAAGCACUUUCAGUGAGGAAGAACGCCUGGUGGUUAAUACCCAUCAGGAAAGACAUCACUCACAGAAGAAGCACCGGCUAACUCCGUGCCAGCAGCCGCGGUAAUACGGAGGGUGCGAGCGUUAAUCGGAAUUACUGGGCGUAAAGCGCGCGUAGGUGGCUUGAUAAGCCGGUUGUGAAAGCCCCGGGCUCAACCUGGGAACGGCAUCCGGAACUGUCAAGCUAGAGUGCAGGAGAGGAAGGUAGAAUUCCCGGUGUAGCGGUGAAAUGCGUAGAGAUCGGGAGGAAUACCAGUGGCGAAGGCGGCCUUCUGGACUGACACUGGCACUGAGGUGCGAAAGCGUGGGUAGCAAACAGGAUUAGAUACCCGAGUAGUC